CUGUGUCGAACCUAUUUCCCCGGGCGGAGUCUUUAGCAACAUGCACUAUUUUUUUUUCCGGCAGCAAUCAUUAACAUCUUUCUCCAAAUUUCAUAACACGAUUUGUUUUAAUUAUCAUAAACAUUUAAUUGAAACUUUAGCACAUUUAACGUCGGAAAUUAGCGUCUUUAGGAUUUUAGACGUUUUCAGACAUUUUGAAAAAAUGGCUACCGUUUUG
rnacentral:lncRNA from 1 species